rnacentral:rRNA from 1 species
GACGAACGCUGGCGGCGUGCCUAACACAUGCAAGUCGAACGGAAGUAAGUGCUUCGGUAUUUACUUUAGUGGCGAACGGGUGAGUAACGCGUGAGGAACCUGCCUUUCAGAGGGGGACAACAGUCGGAAACGACUGCUAAUACCGCAUGAUACAUUUGGGCGGCAUCGCUUGAAUGUCAAAGAUUUUAUCGCUGAAAGAUGGCCUCGCGUCUGAUUAGCUAGUUGGUGGGGUAAAGGCCUACCAAGGCGACGAUCAGUAGCUGGUCUGAGAGGACGACCAGCCACAUUGGGACUGAGACACGGCCCAA